rfam:Schistosoma rodhaini strain Burundi genome assembly, scaffold: SROB_scaffold0000850
GGCCUGCUGAAGAGUCCCAUAAUAGGACGAAACGGCCGUUAAGCCGUGC